rnacentral:rRNA from 1 species
AUUGAACGCUGGCGACAGGCCUAACACAUGCAAGUCGAGCGGAUGAGAGGAGCUUGCUCCUCGAUUCAGCGGCGGACGGGUGAGUAAUGCCUAGGAAUCUGCCUAGUAGUGGGGGACAACGUUUCGAAAGGAACGCUAAUACCGCAUACGUCCUACGGGAGAAAGUGGGGGAUCUUCGGACCUCACGCUAUUAGAUGAGCCUAGGUCGGAUUAGCUAGUUGGUAGGGUAAAGGCCUACCAAGGCGACGAUCCGUAACGGGUCUGAGAGGAUGAUCAGUCACACUGGAACUGAGACACGGUCCAGACUCCUACGGGAGGCAGCAGUGGGGAAUAUUGGACAAUGGGCGAAAGCCUGAUCCAGCCAUGCCGCGUGUGUGAAGAAGGCCUUCGGGUCGUAAAGCACUUUAAGUUGGGAGGAAGGGCUCAUAGCGAAUACCUGUGAGUUUUGACGUUACCAACAGAAUAAGCACCGGCUAACUUCGUGCCAGCAGCCGCAGUAA